rnacentral:rRNA from 1 species
UACGGAGGGUGCGAGCGUUGUCCGGAAUCACUGGGCGUAAAGGGCGCGUAGGUGGCGCGGGCAGUCAACGGUGAAAGUUCGGGGCUCAACCCUGAAUCGGCCGUCGAUACUCCCGUGCUUGAGCACUGUAGAGGCAGAUGGAAUUCCGGGUGUAGCGGUGGAAUGCGUAGAGAUCCGGAAGAACACCGGUGGCGAAGGCGGUCUGCUGGGCAGUAGCUGACACUGAGGCGCGACAGCGUGGGGAGCAAACAGG